GUCAUUUCCAGUGGUGAUUUGGCCGGUCGCUUGCAGCCACUUAAAACAAAUUGCUAAAGGCCGCUAGGGAAACCGG
rnacentral:ncRNA from 1 species